GACGAACGCUGGCGGCGUGCCUAAUACAUGCAAGUCGAACGCUGAAGAGAGGAGCUUGCUCUUCUUUGAUGAUUUGCGAACGGGUGAGUAACGCGUAGGUAACCUGCCUGGUAGCGGGGGAUAACUAUUGGAAACGAUAGCUAAUACCGCAUAAAAUUGAUUAUUGCAUGAUAGUUACUUUAAAGAUGCAACUGCAUCACUACCAGAUGGAUCUGCGUUGUAUUAGCUAGUUGGUGAGGUAACGGCUCACCAAGGCGACGAUACAUAGCCGACCUGAGAGGGUGAUCGGCCACACUGGGCAUGGGGCACGGCCCAGACUCCAGAGGGCGGCAGCAGGAGGGAAUCGUCGGCAAUGGGGGGAACGCUGAACGAGCAACGCCGCGUGAGUGAAGAAGGUUUUCGGAUCGUAAAGCUCUGUUGUAAGAGAAGAACGGGUGUGAGAGUGGAAAGUUCACACUGUGACGGUAUCUUAACAGAAAGCGACGGCUAACUACGUG
rnacentral:rRNA from 1 species